GGGCUCAUGACUGGGGCGAAGUCGUAACAAGGUAGGUGUACCGGAAGGUGCGCCUGGAUCACCUCCUUU
rnacentral:rRNA from 1 species